AUUGAACGCUGGCGGCAGGCCUAACACAUGCAAGUCGAGCGGAUGAAGGGAGCUUGCUCCUGGAUUCAGCGGCGGACGGGUGAGUAAUGCCUAGGAAUCUGCCUGGUAGUGGGGGAUAACGUCCGGAAACGGGCGCUAAUACCGCAUACGUCCUGAGGGAGAAAGUGGGGGAUCUUCGGACCUCACGCUAUCAUAUGAGCCUAGGUCGGAUUAGCUAGUUGGUGGGGUAAAGGCCUACCAAGGCGACGAUCCGUAACUGGUCUGAGAGGAUGAUCAGUCACACUGGAACUGAGACACGGUCCAGACUCCUACGGGAGGCAGCAGUGGGGAAUAUUGGACAAUGGGCGAAAGCCUGAUCCAGCCAUGCCGCGUGUGUGAAGAAGGUCUUCGGAUUGUAAAGCACUUUAAGUUGGGAGGAAGGGCAGUAAGUUAAUACCUUGCUGUUUUGACGUUACCAACAGAAUAAGCACCGGCUAACUUCGUGC
rnacentral:rRNA from 1 species